UGGGGAAUUUUGCACAAUGGGGGAAACCCUGAUGCAGCGACGCCGCGUGAUUUAGAAGGCCUUCGGGUUGUAAAAAUCUUUUGUAUAGGAAGAAAAUGACAGUACUAUACGAAUAAGGACCGGCUAAUUACGUGCCAGCAGCCGCGGUAAUACGUAAGGUCCGAGCGUUGUCCGGAAUCAUUGGGCGUAAAGGGUACGUAGGCGGGUAAGCAAGUUAGAAGUGAAAUCCUAUAGCUCAACUACAGUAAGCUUUUAAAACUGCUCAUCUUGAGAUAUGGAAGGGAAAGUGGAAUUCCUAGUGUAGCGGUGAAAUGCGCAGAUAUUAGGAGGAAUACCGGUGGCGAAGGCGACUUUCUGGCCAUAAUCUGACGCUGGGGUACGAAAGCGUGGGUAGCAAACAGG
rnacentral:rRNA from 1 species